CUUAAGACGGCAUUGCAUAAAAGCUGGGGUUUGAUGUCUAGAGAUGGAGCAGUCCAGGACACUGACACCUGCAAAGGUCCCGAUUUUACAGAACAUUCUCUUUUCCGUGUUCAGAACAACACUGGAAUCUUCUCAACCAAAGGGAGCUACAAGCAGCCAUGGAAGGCUACAGGACAAACGGAACCACUACAUCACGAUAAGGAACUACCUCUGCUAUUCAGCCACAAAGAGACAAAACCCAAACCUCUCGAAAACCUUUCAUGAAACUCAUCUUGCUGCAUUGUGAAAUUAUGAUUGUAUGUGGAAAAACUCACUAUGAAUGAGUAUCUGCAAGCAGCCACAGAGAUACGUCUCAGGCUUAGGGAGCACCAGUCCGCCCUGAGUACCAGGUUCACCAAGCUGAAUACCUGCUGGGGAGCUGUAAAACCAGAGCACGGAGGAACCUAUACAGAAAUGCACAGCAAAUUACCAACAAUGCUAAAUCAGAUCCCAGACUGAACAGCUCCUAGUGCUUCCUUGUGAUUUAAUUCACCAAAUUUGCACCAAUUGACAGAGGCUUCAACAGGGAAGUCCUGCUUUCAACCUGAGCUGCCUUGGAGAUUUCAAAGAGAGGAGGUGAAGAUGUACAGGCUUAAAUCUGUUUCAUUCCUAAUGAGAUCAGCCCUAGAAAGGACGGUUCAGGUGGAUUCAGGAACCCAUCCCAAUCCCUGCCUUGUACAACACAAUUCAGCUUCUGCAGGCUCUGCUUCUUCUCAUGUGAGAAAUGGUGCUUAAGAAGAGCCCAGCACCUCAAUGGUGCAUAAAUAAGUCAGGAAUUUAGAUGAAAACUCUCCAAUAGAUUUUGUAUCCAUCUCAAGGGUUAAAAAUAGGCCAAAUGAAAUUUCAAUGUUUUACAGUAAUGUAAAUUUUACAGCAUUUUCCUGUUUUGAUGAUUCUUGAAUGCUUUUAAGGCAUGCUUUAAAGUAGUUUAGCUGCUAUAGUUCAACAUAGGUAUUCCAUUUUCAUAUUAUAUAUGUAUUUGUAAAUUAUUUUGUUUGAACUGAAGACUGAAUAAACUUGUGAUCUUGAGAAUUUAUUGAAAAAAAACUCAUUCAGUAGGCUCUAAUAAGGACAGCAGAUCUCUAAAGGGCUGUAUUUGUCAAAUAUCAACCAUAUAUCGAAUGGGGGAAUUUUUUUUGAUUUGAACCAAGAUUUAGCCACUUAAAUGUAACAAAGAAGCCUGAAAUUUUCAGAAGCAUCAAACAGCUGUUCCAGAAUCAGAGCACUGCACAAACUCUGUGGCUUUAUGUUUUUCAUCAGGUGCUUUUUGGAGGGGAGGGGGGGAAGGGACUGAAAGAUAGUAUUUUGUUUUUCCUAAAACAUAAAUAUGUUUUGAUUUUAUGUAAUGAAUAAAUUCAAUUUGUUGUUAAAAAGAAAUAAACAUCAGCCUUGACUUCAGUGUAAAAGGCAUUCAGAGGAAAUAAACAUUACGAUAACAGUUCAGUGCUCAGGUUUGCCCUUGUAGUGCGGGGGACACUGUACUUCUGCACAAAAGCCCCGAGGCAACAAACACAGAAACAAACGAUGCAAAUGGAGUGGUGGGGCGAUACAGUUGUCAUCUUUAUUUUCCUGCAGCUCUUUCACUUUCCAGUUCCGAGACAUUUUUGUUAAUGACUUGAAAAGUCAUUAUUCUUUGCAGAGCGUUGAUCUAGAAGUUAAAAACCCUAAUUUACAAGUAGCAUAGACCUGAUCCCAAAGAAUGCCAGGACAAAAGAAGAAAAGGAUAAAAGAAGCCCCAGGAUUUUUGCAUAGCAAAAGAUCAGUGUAAGCUUUCCCCAAGAACAAAUAGAGCAAUAAUCAGGUAUGACCAAAAUAAUUUUCCUGGUUUUAAUUUGUAGAGUUUUAAUAACUAAAGAAAUAAAUGAUUUUAUAUGGUGAUCAACCUAUGGACUAUAUGUAUCAAAUAAUAUAAUGUAUUAACAGCAUAACUGAA